UGAACAAGGAUUAUGCAUCCAACUCACAGACGUUCUCUGAAAAUCUUCAUAUGCCCUCGAAAGUUUUCGUCUUUUCCACCCUCGAAAGCAUUGUUCCAAAAAAAUGUGUUUUUCACUGAAAUAUUUUCCUGUUUGCGAACAUUCGAAAACAAGAAAAACUUCUUUUGAGACAAAACUGUUUGCAAACAAAAUAUUUCAUCAUUAAAAAUUAGUUUUAAUAAAUAUUCUAUACAAUCUUAUAUACAGGGUGUCCCCCAAAAAACGAAAACUAUUGAAAUAAAUGUAUUGUUAAAAUUUGAAUGCCUCUGCAGCAUUCUUCUGAACCCACACGUGCAUCAAAGCUUGACGCGUAAGUAAAUUUUAUGCAUAAAGAAACCGUUUAAGAAGCUGUUUUAAAUUCCCAACGGAGCAGAAAAUCGUGCGCUAGCUUUACAAAGAUAUUUUAAGUUCUUAAUAAGUCAAUAUUUGAAUAUAUGCACCUUGUCAAUAUUUUACGCACUUUGCGUUCCCAGCUUAGUGCUAGGGCAUUCAAAUUUUAACAAUACGUUAUUUCAAUGGGUUUUUCGUUUUUGGGGACACCCUGUACAGGGUAUAUACAAAAAAGUGCUGGGGCCAAGAAUUAUCGUGUCCACCAGGAUACUGUUUCACAACAACAUAUACCUUCAAAAACGGCACAGUGGCUGUUACAAGAUCCUGUGGCUUUAUGCUUUGCCCCGAUGCUCGCAGUACGUGCAACGGUCUAAACAUAGCACGGAAUCUAAAAUACUGCGCUGCCGCGUGUUGUGAGACCGACAAUUGCAACAAUUAUAUACCCCCAAGGGCAAUUUGUUCAACAGCAGCAUGGCAACUGGUGUCGUGACUAUCAAGUUUAUUCCCUGUUUGAUGGUUAUUGCUGGUUUUCUUUUCGCUUGAUGUACUUUGCGUUUUGUACGAGUCCUAUAAUGUAGUUUUGUAGCUUAAUUCGUUUGCUUUAAACUGCUUAUUCAAAACACGUUGUUUAAUUAAAGAACUAUAUUUGUAUUCAUUUAGUAAGAGAUCAUGUAAUAAAUCAAUGAAAUUAAAGUAAUCAGAUCUACUAAAUAAACUAGCUUUGGACAAAAAGCGAACUAUGCC